rnacentral:rRNA from 1 species
GUAUAAGAGACAGCAGUCGCCGCGGUAAUACGGAGGGUGCAAGCGUUAAUCGGAAUUACUGGGCGUAAAGCGCACGCAGGCGGUCUGACAAGUCAGAUGUGAAAUCCCCGGGCUUAACCUGGGAAUUGCAUUUGUGACUGCACGACUAGAGUGUGUCAGAGGGGGGUGGAAUUCCACGUGUAGCAGUGAAAUGCGUAGAUAUGUGGAGGAACACCAAUGGCGAAGGCAGCCCCCUGGGAUAACACUGACGCUCAUGCACGAAAGCGUGGGGAGCAAACAGGAUUAGAUACCCGAGUAGUCCCUGUCUCUUAUAC